GCCAGGUGUGGUGGCGGGCACCUGUAAUCCCAGCUACUCGGGAGGCUGAGGCAGAAGAAUCACUUGAACCCAGGAAGCAGAGGUUGUAGUGAGCCAAGAUUGCGCCAUUGCACUCCAGCCUGGGUGACAGAGUGAGACUCUGUCUCAA
ensembl:misc_RNA Metazoa_SRP Metazoan signal recognition particle RNA